rnacentral:rRNA from 1 species
GGAAUCGCUAGUAAUCGCGGAUCAGCAUGCCGCGGUGAAUACGUUCCCGGGCCUUGUACACACCGCCCGUCACACCAUGAGAGUCGGGAACACCCGAAGUCCGUAGUCUAACCGCAAGGGGACGCGGCCGAAGGUGGGUUCGAUAAUUGGGGUGAAGUCGUAACAAGGUAUC